ACGAGUAUUAAUACGACGGUCUUUAAAGUGCGAACUGUCUUGUGUAAUAAUGUUAAAAACUCUGAGGUCUCGUUUUAUAAAUAGACAUAAACUAUGAUCAUGUACCACAGACUAUCUUUUUGAAAGAGGGAUUUAAGUUUUGUGUUAUGUACCAACUUAUGUACAGUAUGUUGGAGGUGCUAGCUUUCUGGUUGGGUUGGGAUAAAACGCGGAUGCGGACGGACGGACGGAC